rnacentral:lncRNA from 1 species
UGUAUAGGAAUCAGAAAGCAGUGAUUGCUGACAUCAAUUGAAAAUGUUGUUGUUUAUGUAAUAAGAUCAAAUUUUAAAGUCUUUACUCUUUUUUUUCCUAGGUUUAACAAUGUUAAAAUGAAGAUAUUACUAAAAUGGCCCUCUAAAUAGCCCAACAAUUAUUAUUUUCUUUGUCCUAUGGAUUUGGCUUUGAAAGAUGUGCUGCUCUUAAUAAGUGUGUAGUCAUUAAACCCAGAACCUCAGAGGGCUCUACUACUAAACCAUAUACCAGUACCAAAACCGAAAAAUAUUGACGCUACUUUUGUGCUGAAUAU